CUGAUGGAGAGGCCCUGACCUGGGGCUCUGCGGGGCACUGCCAUAAUUGGUCACCAUCAAGACCUUUGAUGCCUAUAAUCAUCUUCCUCCCUUGUUUAUGGAGAAAGGAGACCACCCAGUCAAAGGGGCCGCAGGCUCAGUGCUGUGCUGGGCUCUGUGUUAUGCAGAUGAGACAAAACACUGAAGAAACGAUGUGGAUCCUGAAGCCUGUGUACUAGGUUCAGGGGGCAGGAAGGUCUGUGGCUUGCAGUGGUCUCAUGGCACCAAAGAGCACACUUCAAGGAAGGAUCAAGGUGGAACUUACCAAGCAAGCACCAGACAGCUCUGGAAUGUGAGAAUGUGCAUAAAAGUGGUUAUAUUCUAUCAGCAGGUUCUGUAGUCACUUUCUUGUCACUGGGACUCAGUCCUGGUACCAACAACUUAAAGGAGAAGAGAUUGAUUCUGGCUCGUGUCACUAGUCCAUAAUCAGCUGGCUCCGAGGCAGGAUGGCCCGGCUGAGGGGCAUGGCAGAGGGAAAGCUGCUCAUAUCAUGGCAGUCAGCAAGCAGCAGAGGAGAGAGGAGCCCAGGAAGGAGUACGGCCUUCUAGGACAGCACCAGUGGCACUGUGUAUUCUGACCAGACCCUGCCUCCUGACAGCGAGUCACCUCUAAACCCUCCAAUGCAAUCAUCUUUCCCAGGCCCUGCCCAUAAGUUCAUGAGGCCCUCAGGGACAUCAAGAUAGAAGCUUUAGCAGCAGACCCUCAAGAAAGUCACAGCUGAGGAGUACCCUGGAGACAGUGUGGAGCAGGGGUGAGCUGCAAUUCCUUCCAUCUGUGUCUGGGGAGAUACACUGUAAGGGCAGAGUGGGCUCCAAAAGAAAAUCACAUUAAAAAGAACUGAGAAAUCAAGAUUGCUGGAAAGAGAGGAAAAGUUCUACUAUAUUGUAUAUGUAUAUAUGUGUCAUUAGUAAUAGCCAUUAUUAAUAAAGUUAAUAUUUAUUUUCAUUUAAAGUUUUCCCUUUAAAACAAGAUACAACACAGGCCUGAGAUUUAGCUCAGUGGCGCCACCACCUGCCUCGCAAGCCCAAGGUCCUGAGUACCAGUACCAAAAAUUAAAAAAAUAAAAAAAUAAAAACUAGAUACAACAUAAAAUAUUUACAAGUUUCUCAACCACCAAGAGUGUUUUUUUCCUGUAGUAUUUAAAUUUCCAUUGUCCAAGUGUGGAUGAGUACUAUCUGGCUCAGUUCUCCUUUCUUUAGAAUAAGAUGGGGGACGACUAAACGCCACACCAAGGGACUCGGGACCAUGACAUAUCCAUUGUUCUCAUUCAGUUACACUGAGCAAGUGCAGA
rnacentral:lncRNA from 1 species